GAUGAACGCUGGCGGCGUGUCUAAGGCAUGCAAGUCGAGUGGGUUUAGACCCACGGCAAACGGGAGAGUAACGCAUUGGUAACCUACCUUGAGGUCGAGCAUAAUCCCGCGAAAGCGGGGAUAAUUUUCGAUAAAAGUGGGGGGACAUAAGUCAUUCCUACUUAAAGCAGCAAUGCACCUCGAGAGGGGCCUAUGCCCUAUCAGCUAGUUGGUGAGGUAACGGCUCACCAAGGCGAUGACGGGUAGCGGGUGUGAGAGCAUGACCCGCCUCACUGGGACUGAGACACUGCCCAGACUCCUACGGGUGGCUG
rnacentral:rRNA from 1 species